rnacentral:lncRNA from 1 species
AUGUGGGAUGAUGUGGUUGUUAUUGAUUGAUUUGAAUCAAUUUGUUUGUGUUAUGGGUUGAAUUAGUUCAAGAUAAAUCAAUUUGGUGGUGUUUUGGGUUUGAUUGGUUGAAGACUGCCAGCCAUCACACAAAAUUGUUGUCAGUGUUAAUUCUGAAACUGUGAUAACUUUUCUUGUUGUUACAAGGGAUUGAAAAAUCAAAAGAACACUCCAUAUUAAAAUUUGAAAUUUAUGCUUUUUCUUGUAUUGUCAUGGCAGGUUCAGGAUGGAGGAGGUGAUGAUUGAUGAAGAUGAUAAAUAGGAACUUGGGCAAUAGCAAGGGUGAAAUUAGCUAAUAAAUGAUCCUUUCUACUUUUCUUGCAUUCUUGUAGCCUUUUUAUUUGUAUGAAAUAUUUCUGU